AACGCGAAGAACCUUACCUGGGCUUGAACCGCUAAUGACCAACGGUAGAAACAUCGUCUUCUCGCAAGAGACAUUAGUAGAGGUGCUGCAUGGCUGUCGUCAGCUCGUGCCGUGAGGUGUUGGGUUAAGUCCCGCAACGAGCGCAACCCUUACCCUUAGUUGCCACCCGCAAGGGGGAACUCUAAGGGGACUGCUCCGGAUAACGGAGAGGAAGGUGGGGAUGACGUCAAGUCAGCACGGCCUUUAUGUCCAGGGCUACACACGUGUUACAAUGCAUGGUACAAACUGUUGCGAUCCCGCGAGGGGGAGCUAAUCGGAAAAAACCAUGCUCAGUUCGGAUUGCAGUCUGCAACUCGACUGCAUGAAGCCGGAAUCGCUAGUAAUGGCGUAUCAGAACGACGCCGUGAAUACGUUCCCGGGCCUUGUACACACCGAUAGC
rnacentral:rRNA from 1 species